rnacentral:tRNA from 1 species
UAAGUUGAAGUCCGCUGGCUGGGACAUCUAGUUGUUAAUUAGAGAGGUACGGGAUCGAGGCCCGUCAGCUUAUA